rnacentral:ncRNA from 1 species
CUGGCCAGUCCUGUCGCGUUCCGGGUACUGAUCCCUCGUCCGGGAGCGCGGAAGGGCGCCCGGUC